rnacentral:rRNA from 1 species
AAUUCGAUUGAGUUUGAUCAUGGCUCAGAAUCAACGCUGGCGGCGUGCCCAACACAUGCAAGUCGAACGAGAAAGUGGAGCAAUCCAUGAGUAAAGUGGCGACCGGGUGAGUAACACGUGACCAAUCUACCUUCGAGUGGGGGAUAACUCCGGGAAACCGGAGCUAAUACCGCAUAACAUCUCUGGAAUGCAAAUUCCGUUGAUCAAAGGAGCAAUUCGCUUGAAGAGGAGGUCGCGGCUGAUUAGCUAGUUGGUAGGGUAAUGGCCUACCAAGGCUUAGAUCGGUAGCCGGCCUGAGAGGGCGCACGGCCACACUGGAACUGAAACACGGUCCAGACUCCUACGGGAGGCAGCAGUGGGGAAUUUUGCGCAAUGGGGGAAACCCUGACGCAGCAACGCCGCGUGGAGGAUGAAGUCCCUUGGGAUGUAAACUCCUUUCGACCAAGACGAUAAUGACGGUACUGGUGGAAGAAGCACCGGCUAACUCUGUGCCAGCAGCCGCGGUAAUACAGAGGGUGCAAGCGUUGUUCGGAAUUAUUGGGCGUAAAGGGCGCGUAGGCGGCGCGGUAAGUCACCUGUGAAAUCUCCCGGCUCAACUGGGAGCCUGCAGGCGAAACUGCCGUGCUGGAGUAUGGGAGAGGUGCGUGGAAUUCCUGGUGUAGCGGUGAAAUGCGUAGAUAUCAGGAGGAACACCUGUGGCGAAAGCGGCGCACUGNNCCAUAACUGACGCUGAGGCGCGAAAGCUAGGGGAGCAAACAGGAUUAGAUACCCUGG